rfam:Triticum aestivum genome assembly, contig: Triticum_aestivum_CS42_TGACv1_scaffold_624447_7DS
UAUGUACUCCGUCCGUUCGGAAUUACUUGUCGCAGAAAUGGAUGUAUCUAGACGUAUUUUAGUUCUAGAUACAUCCAUUUCCAAGACAAGUAAUUCCGAACGGAGGGAGUACCAU